rnacentral:rRNA from 1 species
CCUACGGGUGGCAGCAGUGGGGAAUAUUGCUCAAUGGGGGAAACCCUGAAGCAGCGACGCCGCGUGGAGGAUGAAGGGUUUCGGCGUGUAAAGCCCUUUUGAUAGAGAAGAAAAUGACGGUACCUGACCAAUAAGCCCCGGCUAACUACGUGCCAGCAGCCGCGGUAAUACGGAGGGGGCAAGCGUUAUCCGGAUUCACUGGGCGUAAAGAGGGCGUAGACGGGAUAGCAAGUCAGUUGUGAAAGCCUGCGGCUCAACCAUAGAACUGCAAUUGAAACUGUUAGUCUAGAGUACAGGAGGGGUAGGUGGAAUUCUUGGUGUAGCGGUGAAAUGCGUAGAGAUCACGAGGAACACUGAUUGCGAAGGCGGCCUGCUAGACUGUGACUGACGUUGAUGCGCGAAGGCGUGGGGAGCAAACAGGAUUAGAUACCCCAGUAGUC